UGUAGACUGAAAAAAUACAAUGUUGUCACUGUUUCAAGCUGUCUUCGUUCUAUUUGCACUGUUUGUUGCAGUGGUUUUUUCCCAAGAUUUCAACGCCUGGAAUAAUCGAAAUUGGCCACAAAAUAAUUUUGCAAAUGGAUGGAAUAGAAAUAAUAUGCACCAAAAUUGGCCCAAUCAAAACAAUGGAUGGUUUUAGAGCAAAGAAUGUGGAGGACUUAGAUGGAGAUAUACUUUGAUUCCUUACAGAUGCAUCUAUAUUAAGUGGAAAUGUGGCAAUUCAAUAAAAACUUUUAUACUCAUAUUUUUGAUUAAAGAUAUAUAAAAAUCA